AGGGGGCAACCUGACAAAUCGUGUGUCUCCUGCAGGUUCCGGGAGAGUAGGCAGAUACAGUACGAAGUAAGGAACAGAUCAGAAGACAUCUCCUCUGGGCAACUGGUUACAGAGGGAGAAAGAAAAGAGGGGGGAGAGUGAGAAAAGAAGAGAGACAAACAGAGACAGGAGCAAGAAAGGAAAAAAGAGUUUUCUCUUCAAAGAGCAUCAUUAGAACAAAGGCAUCAUUCAUUGUUACUGUCCUGUUACUCAGAUUUAUAAUACAGUUGCAGUCUACAAAUUCCAAUGCUAUUUCUAGGCAAGCAAAUUAUACAACUCAUAAGAAGAUGGUGAAUGAUCCCAAACUAAUUACUUUGUGACCUUUUCUUUGACUAUUUUCUGUUUGAAAUAUAUUAUUGAAAACUGUAUAUAUAAUGGCACCAACUACAAUUAUUUUUUAACAUUCUACAAAUGUAUUAUUUGAGAGUAAUGUCAAACUUUUUCAAUGCAACCCAUCAGUCUGCAGACACAGUGUUGUAUGUUAUGUAGAGUAGACCAUGCUACAGUAUAUCUUAUCAAGAACCCUUUGUCUGCUUAUAAGACAAACUAAUAAUACUGAUCCCAGGAUUUCCCACUGUAGCAAACAGUUGGUAUGCAAUAAACUUGUGCA